AUGCAAACUCUUGGCUUUGUUCCAUCUAAGUCUGACACCUCACUGUUUAUUUAUAACAAGUGCAAUACUCAUAUCUUUGUUCUCAUCUACGUUAAUGAUAUCAUUGUUACAAGCUCAUCUGAUGAAGCCAUAACAGGAUUAUUGAAGGAUCUUAGUGCAGAGUUUGCCCUUAAGGAUCUUGGAGAUCUGCACUAUUUCCUAGGGAUAGAAGUGAAGAAACAUAAUGGUGGACUUCACUUGUCUCAAGAAAAAUAUGCAACUGAUCUGGUAAGAAAGGCUGGUUUGCAAGGCUGUAAACCUUCACCUACUCCAUUGUCCAGUUCAGAAAAAUUGUCUCUUACAGAAGGACAAGCCUUGAGCCAGGAAGACAGCACUAAAUACAGAAGUCUUGUAGGUGCACUUCAAUAUCUUACUCUUACAAGACCUAAUAUAUCAUUUGCUGUUAACAAAGUCUGUCAAUUUCUUCAUGCACCCACUAUUGUUCACCUGACUGCUGCUAAGCGAAUAGUUAGAUAUGUCAAGAACACCCUUAAUAUUGGUCUUAACUUCAGCAAGUCAUCAUCCACAUUGCUUAGUGCUUUCUCAGACUCUGACUGGGCAGGUUGUUUGGAUGACAGACGUUCUACUGGGGGAUUUGCAGUGUUCUUUGGUCCUAACUUGAUUUCAUGGUGUGCAAGGAAACAAGCCACUGUCUCCAGGUCCAGUACUGAAGCAGAAUACAAGGCAUUAGCAAAUGCUACAGCUGAAAUCAUAUGGAUGCAGUCUCUCCUAAGGGAGCUUGGUGUAAAAAGCAAACAAGCUCCAUGCUUAUGGUGUGACAAUUUGUGUGCAACUUAUUUGUCUGCUAAUCCUGUUUUUCAUGCUAGGAUGAAACAUAUUGAAAUUGAUUUUCAUUUUGUCAGAGAGCGAGUGGCUCAAAAACAGCUUGAUAUUCGUUUUGUGCAUUCCAAGGAUCAGGUUGCAGAUGGAUUCACCAAGGCUCUACCCAUCAGAAAUUUUGAAGACUUCAAACAUAAUCUCAACUUAAUGAAGUUGUGA
rnacentral:rRNA from 1 species